CGCGAAAGCGUGACGCAGCAACGCCGCGUGAGGGAAGACGGCCUUAGGGUUGUAAACCUCUUCAGGAGGGACGAAGGUCGGCACGUUAAUAGCGUGUCCGAUUGACGGUACCUCCACAAGAAGCCCCGGCUAACUACGUGCCAGCAGCCGCGGUAAUACGUAGGGGGCAAGCGUUGUCCGGAAUUAUUGGGCGUAAAGAGCGUGUAGGCGGUCCGGUAAGUCAGCUGUGAAAGUCAAGGGCUCAACCCUUGAAAGCCGGUUGAUACUGUCGGGCUAGAGUCCGGAAGAGGCGAGUGGAAUUCCCGGUGUAGCGGUGAAAUGCGCAGAUAUCGGGAGGAACACCAAUGGCGAAGGCAGCUCGCUGGGACGGUACUGACGCUGAGACGCGAAAGCGUGGGGAGCAAACAGGAUUAGAUACCCUGGUAGUCCACGCCGUAAACGAUGGGCACUAGGUGUUGGGGGUGUCGACUCCCCCGGCGCCGUAGCUAACGCAUUAAGUGCCCCGCCUGGGGAGUACGGCCGCAAGGCUA
rnacentral:rRNA from 1 species